rnacentral:SRP_RNA from 1 species
GCCGGGCGCGGUGACACGCGCCUGUAAUCCAAGUCACUGGGAGGUUGAGGUUGGUGGAUCGAGUGAGGAGCUCUGGGCUGUAGCGUGCUAUGUCGAGCGGGUGUCCACACUAAGUUCGGUACCGACAUGGUGCUCCUGGGGGAGCCCGGGACCACCAGGUCGUCUAAGGAGGGGUGCACCGGCCCAGGUCGGAAACGAAGCAGGUCAAAGCCCUUGUGCUGUCCAGCAGUGGGAUACUGCCUGUGAUUAGACUCUGCAGUGCAGCCAUGACAUAAAAAUCGAGACCUAAUCUUU